rnacentral:rRNA from 1 species
UACGAAGGGGGGCUAGCGUUGCUCGGAAUCACUGGGCGUAAAGGGUGCGUAGGCGGGUCUUUUAAGUCAGGGGUGAAAUCCUGGAGCUCAACUCCAGAACUGCCUUUGAUACUGAGGAUCUUGAGUUCGGGAGAGGUGAGUGGAACUGCGAGUGUAGAGGUGAAAUUCGUAGAUAUUCGCAAGAACACCAGUGGCGAAGGCGGCUCACUGGCCCGGUACUGACGCUGAGGCACGAAAAGCGUGGGGGA